UACGAAGGGGGCGAGCGUUGUUCGGAUUUACUGGGCGUAAAGGGCGCGCAGGCGGCUUUCUAAGUCGGGGGUGAAAUCCUGGAGCUCAACUCCAGAACUGCCUUCGAUACUGGAGAGCUCGAGUCCGGGAGAGGUGAGUGGAACUGCGAGUGUAGAGGUGAAAUUCGUAGAUAUUCGCAAGAACACCAGUGGCGAAGGCGGCUCACUGGCCCGGUACUGACGCUGAGGUGCGAAAGCGUGGGGAGCAAACAGG
rnacentral:rRNA from 1 species